rnacentral:rRNA from 1 species
GACGAACGCUGGCGGCGUGCCUAACACAUGCAAGUCGCACGGGACCCGCAAGGGUUCAGUGGCAGACGGGUGCGUAACACGUGAGGAACAUGCCAAUCGGCGGGGGAUAGCCGGCCCAACGGCCGGGUAAUACCGCGUACCGCCGCGUGGGGGCAUCCCCAUGCGGUGAAAGCAGCAAUGCGCCGAUUGAGUGCCUCGCGGCCUAUCAGCUAGUUGGUGAGGUAAUGGCUCACCAAGGCUACGACGGGUAGCUGGUCUGAGAGGAUGAUC